UAACGGCGUCGAGCGGCGGACGGGUGAGUAAUGCCUAGGAAAUUGCCCUGAUGUGGGGGAUAACCAUUGGAAACGAUGGCUAAUACCGCAUGAUGCCUACGGGCCAAAGAGGGGGACCUUCGGGCCUCUCGCGUCAGGAUAUGCCUAGGUGGGAUUAGCUAGUUGGUGAGGUAAGGGCUCACCAAGGCGACGAUCCCUAGCUGGUCUGAGAGGAUGAUCAGCCACACUGGAACUGAGACACGGUCCAGACUCCUACGGGAGGCAGCAGGGGGGAAUAUUGCACAAUGGGCGCAAGCCUGAUGCAGCCGUGCCGCGUGUGUGAAGAAGGCCUUCGGGUUGUAAAGCACUUU
rnacentral:rRNA from 1 species